rnacentral:rRNA from 1 species
GUAAAUAAUUAAGGGCGUAUGGUGGAUGCCUAGGCUCUCAGAGGCGAUGAAGGACGUGAUAAGCUGCGAAAAGCUCCGUUUAGGUGCAAAUAACCUUUGAUGCGGAGAUCUCCGAAUGGGAUAACCCAAUAUGUUGAAGACAUAUUAUACCGUAAGGUAGGCAAACGCAGGGAACUGAAACAUCUAAGUACCUGCAGGAGAAGAAAACAAACGUGAUUCCCCCAGUAGCGGCGAGCGACCGGGGAAAAGCCCAAACCGUUAUUGUUUCGGCAUUAACGGGGUAGUAGGACUGCAAGCUUGAUGAAAUAAAUGAAAUGGAACACUUUGGAAAAUGUGAUCACAGAGGGUGAUAAUCCCGUACAUGCAAGUUUAUGAAUCAUAGCAGACUCCUGAGUAAGUCGGGACACGUGUAAUCCUGACCGAAUCCGCCGGGACCAUCCGGCAAGGCUAAAUACUCCUGAGAGACCGAUAGUGAACCAGUACCGUGAGGGAAAGGUGAAAAGCACUUCGAACAGAAGAGUGAAAUAGUCCCUGAACCCAUACGCCUACAAGCAGUCGGAGCCGCUUCGUGCGGUGACGGCGUGCCUUUUGCAUAAUGAGCCUACGAGUUACUCAUCACCAGCGAGGUUAAGUACUUCAGGUACGUAAGCCGAAGCGAAAGCGAGUCUGAAUAGGGCGUCAAGUUGGUGGUGGUAGACGCGAAACCUUAGUGAUCUACCCAUGGGCAGGGUGAAGGUUUGGUAACACAAACUGGAGGCCCGAACCGGUAAACGUUGAAAAGUUUUCGGAUGACCUGUGGGUAGGGGUGAAAGGCCAAUCAAACUGGGAAAUAGCUCGUACUCUCCGAAAUGCAUUUAGGUGCAGCCUCUGUUGUUUUGUUCUAGAGGUAGAGCUACUGAUUGGAUGCGAGGGCUUCACCGCCUAUCAAAUCCGGCCAAACUCCGAAUGCUAGAACAUGAAGACAGGGAGUGAGCCAGCGGGUGCUAAGGUCCGUUGACGAAAGAGGGAGAACUCAGACCAUCAGCUAAGGUCCCCAAUUAUAUGCUAAGUUGGAAUUAAAACGGGGUGGGACUGCUUAGACAGCUAGGAUGUUGGCUUGGAAGCAGCCAUUCAUUUAAAGAGUGCGUAACAGCUCACUAGUCGAGCGGUCCUGCAUGGAUAAUACGCGGGCAUAAGCAUAUAACCGAAGCUAUGGGAUUGUAGAUGAUACAAUCGGUAGGAGAGCAUUCCAUUCAGCAUAGAAGCAGUACCGUGAGGUAUUGUGGAGCGGAUGGAAAAGCAAAUGUAGGCAUAAGUAACGAUAAUGCGGGUGAGAACCCCGCACGCCGAAAGAUCAAGGAUUCCCCGGCAAUGUCAAUCAUCCGGGGGUAAGUCGGAUCCUAAGGGUAAGCCGAGUGGCGAUCCCGAUGGUAAACAGGUUAAUAUUCCUGUACUGAUCAUAACUGCGAUGCAGCGACGCAGAGGUGACACUGCUGCGUACUGACGGAAUAGUACGUUGAAACCCGUAUUCUUUGAUACCGGUAGUGAAGCACGCCGGUAGAGAUGAAAGGUGAUAGUACCGCAAUGCUUCGGUUGCGCGGAUAAUGCAGGUAAGCUGACUGCCAAGAAAACCUGCUAAGCUUCAGGUAAUGAUCAUCCGUACUGUAAACGGACACACGUGAUCAGGUAGAAAAUACUAAGGCGCUCGAGAGAUUCAUGGUUAAGGAACUAGGCAAAAUGGUCCUGUAACUUCGGGAUAAAGGACGCUCUUGUGAAAGAGCCGCAGAUAAUAGGCCCAGGCGACUGUUUACCAAAAACACAUGGCUAUGCUAAUUCGCAAGAAGAUGUAUAUGGCCUGACACCUGCCCGGUGCCGGAAGGUUAAGAGGAGAGCUCAGAGGUAACUCGAAGGUUUGAAUUGAAGCCCCGGUAAACGGCGGCCGUAACUAUAACGGUCCUAAGGUAGCGAAAUUCCUUGUCGGGU